rnacentral:lncRNA from 1 species
CCCGAACCCCAGGCAAAAACCCUAGGUUACUCACUGAAAACCCUGCGCCCACUCUUGUUUCUUUUCUUUCUUUUUCUCUCGGAAGUUUUUGAACUUCCUGCUCAUGCACAAGGCUUCCUCACACCCACUAUUCUCUCUCAAAAAAUUUUUACGCACGCCCCACCUCCCUUUCUCUUUUAAAACAGUGCAAGACGUGUCUUAUCC